GACAGAGGGUGCAAACGUUGUUCGGAAUUACUGGGCGUAAAGCGCGUGUAGGCGGCAAGGCAAGUCGGGUGUGAAAGCCCUGGGCUCAACCCAGGAAGUGCAUUCGAUACUGCCAAGCUAGAGUCCCGGAGAGGAUGGUGGAACUCUCGGUGUAGAGGUGAAAUUCGUAGAUAUCGAGAAGAACACCGGUGGCGAAGGCGGCCAUCUGGACGGUGACUGACGCUGAGACGCGAAAGCGUGGGGAGCAAACAGG
rnacentral:rRNA from 3 species